rnacentral:rRNA from 1 species
AGACGGAGGGAGCAAGCGUUGCUCGGAAUUACAGGGCGUAAAGGGCGUCUAGGCGGGACGGUAAGUCGGAUGUGAAAGCCCUGGGCGCAACCCAGGAAGUGCAUUCGAAACUACCGUUCUUGAGUGUGGCAGAGGAGAGCGGAAUUCCCGGUGUAGCGGUGAAAUGCGUAGAUAUCGGGAAGAACACCAGUGGCGAAGACGGCUCUCUGGGCCACUACUGACGCUAAAGCGCGAAAGCUAGGGGAGCAAACGGGAUUAGAAACCCCAGUAGUCC